rnacentral:rRNA from 1 species
CAGUCGCCACGGUAAUACGGAGGGUGCAAGCGUUAAUCGGAAUUACUGGGCGUAAAGCGCACGCAGGCGGUCUGACAAGUCAGAUGUGAAAUCCCCGGGCUUAACCUGGGAACUGCAUUUGAAACUGUCAGGCUGGAGUCUUGUAGAGGGGGGUGGAAUUCCAGGUGUAGCGGUGAAAUGCGUAGAGAUCUGGAGGAAUACCGGUGGCGAAGGCGGCCCCCUGGACAAAGACUGACGCUCAGGUGCGAAAGCGUGGGGAGCAAACAGGAUUAGAUACCCCAGAGUCCCUGUCUCUUAUACC